AAACAAGCACAAAGUGACUCUUUUCCCUUCUGCACAGGCAGGGAUCCCUUAAAAGAUUUCCAAGGAGGAAUCAGGAGGCUGGGAACAGCGGGAAGGAGAAAAAUCAGGAGUUCUGUGCCAGAAGGAAAAGCUGCCAGAGCAGCAGGAACAGGAGCUGGGGAAGAGAGAGAAUGCCUGGGCACAGAGGAGAAAGCUGAAAUACCAAAUUCUGCUAUGCAGGGGGAAGGUGGCAACACCCCCACGGAGAAUCCAGUGUGCAGACAAAAGCCAUCCUCAACCUGGCAGCUGCAGUGGGAAUGCCAACAUUCCACCUUUCCCUGCAGGGAUCAGGAACUUUAAGACCACUCAGGGAAGAGGGAGAGCUGCUUCAGCAAAUGUCACCAAAGCUCUCACAACAGGAAUCAUCCUCAGCUGCAGCUUAGGAAAUGACAAUGCCAAGAGGGAAGUGGGGUGAACUGAGGACAGGACAUUUUGCUUUUUCAUAAAAUCUAUUUAAUACCAAAUCCUAAAAAAAGCAGAUUUUUGUCACCUCCCCUCUACAUAACUAUGAUAUCUGCCAAUUUUCAGAUCAAAUCAACAUGUCUAAAAGGUGAAAAGAGAACACACAC